rnacentral:rRNA from 1 species
GACGAACGCUGGCGGCGUGCUUAACACAUGCAAGUCGAACGGAAAGGCCUCUUUCGGGGGGUACUCGAGUGGCGAACGGGUGAGUAACACGUGAGUAACCUGCCCUUGACUUUGGGAUAACUUCAGGAAACUGGGGCUAAUACCGGAUAGGAGCUCCUGCUGCAUGGUGGGGGUUGGAAAGUUUCGGCGGUUGGGGAUGGACUCGCGGCCUAUCAGCUUGUUGGUGGGGUAGUGGCUUACCAAGGCUUUGACGGGUAGCCGGCCUGAGAGGGUGACCGGCCACAUUGGGACUGAGAUACGGCCCAGACUCCUACGGGAGGCAGCAGUGGGGAAUAUUGCACAAUGGGUGGAAGCCUGAUGCAGCAACGCCGGGUGCGGGAGGACGGCCUUCGGGUUGGAAACCGCUUUCGCUCAUGACGAAGCUUUGUGUGACGGUAGUGGGUAAAGAAGCACCGGCUAACUACGUG